ACAGGAAGAAGCUUGCUUCUUUGCUGACGAGUGGCGGACGGGUGAGUAAUGUCUGGGAAACUGCCUGAUGGAGGGGGAUAACUACUGGAAACGGUAGCUAAUACCGCAUAACGUCGCAAGACCAAAGAGGGGGACCUUCGGGCCUCUUGCCAUCGGAUGUGCCCAGAUGGGAUUAGCUAGUAGGUGGGGUAACGGCUCACCUAGGCGACGAUCCCUAGCUGGUCUGAGAGGAUGACCAGCCACACUGGAACUGAGACACGGUCCAGACUCCUACGGGAGGCAGCAGUGGGGAAUAUUGCACAAUGGGCGCAAGCCUGAUGCAGCCAUGCCGCGUGUAUGAAGAAGGCCUUCGGGUUGUAAAGUACUUUCAGCGGGGAGGAAGGGAGUAAAGUUAAUACCUUUGCUCAUUGACGUUACCCGCAGAAGAAGCACCGGCUAACUCCGUGCCAGCAGCCGCGGUAAUACGGAGGGUGCAAGCGUUAAUCGGAAUUACUGGGCGUAAAGCGCACGCAGGCGGUUUGUUAAGUCAGAUGUGAAAUCCCCGGGCUCAACCUGGGAACUGCAUCUGAUACUGGCAAGCUUGAGUCUCGUAGAGGGGGGUAGAAUUCCAGGUGUAGCGGUGAAAUGCGUAGAGAUCUGGAGGAAUACCGGUGGCGAAGGCGGCCCCCCUGGACGAAGACUGACGCUCAGGUGCGAAAGCGUGG
rnacentral:rRNA from 1 species